CACCAGCCCCUCGAGUGGUGGGGACUUUUAUUUGGUCUAAAGCGUCCGUAGCUGGCUAUGUAAGUCUCCCGUCAAAUCCGGCGUCCUAAGCGUCGGUCUUCGGGAGAUACUACAAAGCUAGAGGGUGGGAUAGGUGAGCGGUAUUUCUGGGGUAGGGGCGAAAUCCUUUGAUCCCAGGAGGACCACCAGUGGCGAAGGCUGCUCACUAGAACACGCCUGACGGUCAGGGACGAAAGCUGGGGCAGCGAACCGGAUUAGAUACCCGGGUAGUCCCAGCUGUAAACGAUGCUAGCUAGGUGUCGGGUCGGCCACGCGCCGCCCCAGUGCCGCAGGGAAGCCGUUAAGCUAGCCACCUGGGGAGUACGGCCGCAAGGCUGAAACUCAAAUGAAUUGACGG
rnacentral:rRNA from 1 species